rnacentral:rRNA from 1 species
UUGAACGCUGGCGGAAUGCUUUACACAUGCAAGUCGGGCGGCAGCGCGGGGGCAACCCUGGCGGCGAGCGGCGAACGGGUGAGUAACAUAUCGGAACGUACCCAGACGUGGGGGACAACUAGUCGAAAGACUAGCUAAUACCGCAUACGUCCUGAGGGAGAAAGCGGGGGAUCGCAAGACCUCGCGCGUUUGGAGCGGCCGAUAUCUGAUUAGCUAGAUGGUGGGGUAAAGGCCCACCAUGGCGACGAUCAGUAGCUGGUCUGAGAGGAUGAUCAGCCACACUGGAACUGAGACACGGUCCAGACUCCUACGGGAGGCAGCAGUGGGGAAUUUUGGACAAUGGGGGAAACCCUGAUCCAGCCAUUCCGCGUGAGUGAAGAAGGCCUUCGGGUUGUAAAGCUCUUUCGGCAGGAACGAAACGGCGGAAUCUAAUACAUUCCACUAAUGACGGUACCUGAAGAAGAAGCACCGGCUAACUACGU